UAAGCAAAUACUGCUGUCUGCUGAGCUGAACUAGGACUCCCGGGUGAACAGAUUUAAAAAUCAACAACAGACGGCCACAGGGCAUGCCUGGACCGGGCACCAUACCUUCGUGGAAUUUUCAGAGGCUCCAUCCCCCAGCCCAUCACUCUCAGGACUAGAAACACGGUGGUGCGGGGGUGGGGGGACUCCUGAUUUGGGGCUGGCAGGGAGCAGCACGGGACAGGCUGUUGUCUGGGAAAACCCCCCCGCCAGCUUCGACUCUCCCUCACUUGCUCUAGUCUGCUGCUUCCUGCCAAGAGGAGGGCUUGGUGCACUGCUGGCAGGACCUUUGAUCUGGGUACCACAGAUCAUGAUGUGACCAAGGAGCCUCAGUCACGUGGGGCACCAGUUAAGGGGGUUGGCCCUUCCUAGCUGACUCCCAGCCACACUGCAGCAGCUUCUGUUCACUUCUCAGCGGGCUGCAGAGGCAGGGAGGGGGAGGCCAGGUGGCACAGGACUGACCCCAGUGGAUGCCACCUCAUCACCCUGUUGGUGAGAGAGCAGAUGUGGAAGCUGAAGCUUACGGGGCUGAAGUAUCUUGCCUCACAUCACAGGCUGCUAAGAAGCAGAGCUGGGAUUGGCAUCCAGGUUGAUCUCCCUCUAAAAGCCUCCCCUUUCACUACAACCCACAUAGACUCUCAUUCCAACCCCACUUCAAGCAUUUCUUCCCAUUAUCAGACCUGUGGGACAAGGUUUGGUUGGGAAAACACGAGGCUCUUCAGGAAGACAGACAACAGAUUGCCCAUCAUUUCAUGGACAAGGGACCGACAUGAGGCGCACCCAGAUCUCUGUGGCUUUUUCUUGGUGCCAAACAAAUGCAGAAGGAGUCACUUCUCAAAGAACACAGUGUUUUUCUUCCUCUUCUCACCUCUCCUGGGCCGGUGCCUGUGAUAAUUGGGAAGCACAGAGUCUGGUUUUUCCGGGAUUGGAACCAAUGCUGUGAAGAGUGUUCUGACAAUAAAUGUUGAUUGACAGUUGAUGGACAAUGUUCUUGAAUCAGUUUUUCCUGUGCUGGGUGUUAAGCUGAGAACUGCACUAAACAACUGCUCAACAACCUGCUUCCUGUUCAGAUAGAAUUUACUACACUCUCUCUCUGUGGGCCU
rnacentral:lncRNA from 1 species